rnacentral:rRNA from 1 species
GAUGAACGCUGGCGGCGUGCCUAAUACAUGCAAGUCGAACGAAACUUCUUUAUCACCGAGUGCUUGCACUCACCGAUAAAGAGUUGAGUGGCGAACGGGUGAGUAACACGUGGGCAACCUGCCCAAAAGAGGGGGAUAACACUUGGAAACAGGUGCUAAUACCGCAUAACCAUAGUUACCGCAUGGUAACUAUGUAAAAGGUGGCUAUACUACCGCUUUUGGAUGGUCCCGCGGCGCAUUAGCUAGUUGGUAGGGUAAAGGCUUACCAAGGCAAUGAUGCGUAGCCGAAGUGAGAGGUUGAUCGGCCACAUUGGGACUGAGACACGGCCCAAACUCCUACGGGAGGCAGCAGUAGGGAAUCUUCCACAAUGGGCGAAAGCCUGAUGGAGCAACGCCGCGUGGGUGAAGAAGGUCUUCGGAUCGUAAAACCCUGUUGUUAGAGAAGAAAGUGCGUGAGAGUAACUGUUCACGUUUCGACGGUAUCUAACCAGAAAGCCACGGCUAACUACGUG